ACCGCAAAGACAAACUCGUGGCAUUGAUCGCAUCAGGUGUUAAAAUAUCAGUUUUUUUUCUUUUUUUGCUGGUCGCAAAAUUAGUUGGAUUGAAUAAAUUUCCCUGCGCUUCCCUUGUUCCCGACAUCGCUAUUAUUGGAAGGUGGAAGAUCUCAUUUCACCGAGUGACGUGAUGGCGUCUUAACGGAGCUUAUUCCCGUUGCUACGUUGCAAAGUCAAAACCUUCCGGAGACGAGAGACGACCAAUCGAUUUAAAAAAGGUGACUCAAAAUAUCCAUGACAAGAGUGGAACGAUCAAUGGUGGAUGAGAAGCGAAAGUCAGUUGGUCAGCAGUGUGCCGAACAAAAUCAUGAAAGGCGCACUAACUGAUAAGCUUAAAAACUCAUGAUGAAAUGAGCGAAAAAAGAAUGCCUGCUGCCUGGAACAGCAGAGGCCAACAGCGUCACCGGUUCCAACGAUGAAACGACCUCGGCAUCGAUGUAUUUUUAUUUAACAGUGAAUAAAUAAAUGAAAUAAUUUCGAUAACAAAUAAAAAAUGUUUUGAAAAAGAAUUGAUUUGAUUAAAUGGAAUGAAAAAUUUGAAAGUGAAAU